GCCGGAAUAGCUCAGUUGGUAGAGCAGAGGACUGAAAAUCCUCGUGUCACCAGCUCA
rnacentral:tRNA from 1 species